rnacentral:lncRNA from 1 species
CCGCGGACGAACUUCGCCCACGCCCCCCACCAAGGCUAUAGCCCACCGGUUAUUUGGCCAUUUUUCCGCUGGGGGGUCUUGGGACCCCGACCUUCGGGGGCUGAUUUUUGGGCGCGGCUGUGCCCGUGGCCUAUUUUUGGCACACGGAGGCCGCCCGCCAAGUCUGGGGCCAUUCCGAGUCCCGCGGACGAACUUCGCCCACGCCCCCCACCAAGGCUAUAGCCCACCCGUUUUUUGGCCAUUUUUCCUCUGGGGGGUCUUGGGACCCCGACCUUCGGGGGCUAAUUUUUGGGCGCGGCUGUGCCCGUGGCCUAUUUUUGGCACACGGAGGCCGCCCGCCAAGUCUGGGGCCAUUCCGAGUCCGGCGGACGAACUUCGCCCACGCCCCCCACCAAGGCUAUAGCCCACCCGUUUUUUGGCCAUUUUUCCGCUGGGGGGUCUUGGGACCCCGACCUUCGGGGGCUGAUUUUUGGGCGCGGCUGUGCCCGUGGCCUAUUUUUGACACACGAGGCCGUCCGCCAAGUCUGGGGCCAUUCCGAGUCCCGCGGACGAACU